UGGGGAAUUUUGGACAAUGGGCGAAAGCCUGAUCCAGCAAUGCCGCGUGUGUGAAGAAGGCCUUCGGGUUGUAAAGCACUUUUGUCCGGAAAGAAAUCCUUGGCUCUAAUACAGUCGGGGGAUGACGGUACCGGAAGAAUAAGCACCGGCUAACUACGUGCCAGCAGCCGCGGUAAUACGUAGGGUGCAAGCGUUAAUCGGAAUUACUGGGCGUAAAGCGUGCGCAGGCGGUUUGCUAAGACCGAUGUGAAAUCCCCGGGCUCAACCUGGGAACUGCAUUGGUGACUGGCAGGCUAGAGUAUGGCAGAGGGGGGUAGAAUUCCACGUGUAGCAGUGAAAUGCGUAGAGAUGUGGAGGAAUACCGAUGGCGAAGGCAGCCCCCUGGGCCAAUACUGACGCUCAUGCACGAAAGCGUGGGGAGCAGACAGGAUUAGAUACCCUGGUAGUCCACGCCCUAAACGAUGUCAACUAGUUGUUGGGGAUUCAUUCCUUAGUAACGUAGCUAACGCGUGAAGUUGACCGCCU
rnacentral:rRNA from 1 species